GAGACACCCUUCUGGGGCAAGACUUGCUUCAGUGGGGCUUUGGUCCUCACUGAGUCUGCCCCCUGAGUGUGUCCCU
rfam:Myotis lucifugus cont2.11379, whole genome shotgun sequence.